CAGGUUGAAAUAUAUUAAAGGACAGGUUGCAAUAUAUUAAAGGACAGGUUGCAAUAUAUUAAAGGACAGGUUGAAAUAUAUUAAAGGACAGGUUGCCAUAUUUAAUAUAAGGACAGGUUGCAAUAUAUUAAAGGACAGGUUGCAAUAUAUUAAAGGACAGGUUGCAAUAUAUUAAAGGACA